UAAUAGGUGCAGCAAAAGUGAAACCGUUUGAAGAACUGAAGGAAAUGAUAGGACAUUGGAUGAUGAAAUAAAUGAGUUUAAGGGAUAGGUGCAGGAUACGUGCCAAGGACUCUAGAUCUUCCUACUCAAGGGACGUGUAAACAAAUUAGGACCUCUCGGAUCGUGCGUAUUAUUCGAGAGAACAUUAGAGUUUUAUAUAAUUAACUGAGCAGACGAGCUACAAGUUUUGGAGUACAUAGUUGUUAGUUCAUGAUAUAAGAGCCACAUUAGAUGUAUUCAUAAUUAGUGAAUGAUUUUUAUUUAUGUUUUGAUGAUAUGUUUCGGAUUCAAUGUUACAAUGACUGACAUUACAUAUUUUAAUUAAUAUAGUCUUUUUGCAUCUUUA